UAACGCUGGCGGUUUGCCCUAACACAUGCAAGUCGAACGAAAGUUUAUACUUUAGUGGCGGACGGGUGAGUAAUACGUGAGAAUCUACUUUAGGAAGGGAAUAACAAUUGGAAGCGAUUGCUAAUGCCCUAUAUGCUUAGCAGUGAAACAGAUUUAUCUGCCUGAAGAUGAGCUCGCGCCUGAUUAGCUAGUUGGUAGAGUAAAAGCCUACCAAGGCAACGAUCAGUAGCUGGUUUGAGAGGACGAUCAGCCACACUGGGACUGAGACACGGCCCAGACUUCUACGGAAGGCAGCAGUGGGGAAUUUUCCGCAAUGAGCGAAAGCUUGACGGAGCAAUACCGCGUGAGGGAAGAAUGCCUGUGGGUUGUAAACCUCUUUUUUUAGGGAAGAAAAUAUGACGGUACCUAAAGAAUAAGCAUCGGCUAACUCCGUGCCAGCAGCCGCGGUAAUACGGGGGAUGCAAGCGUUAUCCGGAAUUACUGGGCGUAAAGCGUCUGCAGGUGGCUUAAAAAGUCUGCUGUUAAAUAUUAGAGCUCAACUCUGAGUAAGCAGUGGAAACUGUUAGGCUAGAGUAUGGUAUGGGUAAAGGGAACUCCCAGUGUUAGCCGGUGAACAUGCGUUAGAUAUUUGGGGAAAGAAACACCCAGUAAGACGAAAAAGCCGCCUUUACUAGAACCAUUUACCUGGACACCUUCCAGGAGACGAAAAGCCUAGGGGGAGCACACUGGGGGAUUUAAGAUACACCCCACUAGUUCCCUACGCCGCUAAAACCGAAUGGGUUACUUAAAUGU
rnacentral:rRNA from 1 species